UACGUAGGGGGCAAGCGUUGUCCGGAUUUAUUGGGCGUAAAGAGCGUGUAGGCGGCCAGGUAGGUGGGUUGUGAAAACUGGAGGCUCAACCUUCAGACGUCGACCCAAACCCCCUGGCUAGAGUCCGGAAGAGGAGAGUGGAAUUCCUGGUGUAGCGGUGAAAUGCAUAGAUAUGACCCGGAACACCUAUUGCGAAGGCAGCAGGCUAAACAAAUAUUGACGCUGAGGCUCGAAAGCGUGGGGAUCAAACAGG
rnacentral:rRNA from 1 species